GAUGAACGCUGGCGGCGUGCCUAAUACAUGCAAGUCGAGCGAACGGACGAGAAGCUUGCUUCUCUGAUGUUAGCGGCGGACGGGUGAGUAACACGUGGAUAACCUACCUCUACGACUGGGAUAACUUCGGGAAACCGGGGCUAAUACCGGAUAAUAUUUUGAACCGCAUGGUUCAAAAGUGAAAGAAGGUCUUGCUGUCACUUAUAGAUGGAUCAGCGCUGCAUUAGCUAGUUGGUAAGGUAACGGCUUAGCAAGGCAACGAUGCAUAGCCGACCUGAGAGGGUGAUCGGCCACACGGGAACUGAGACUCAGCCCAGACUCCUACGGUAGGCAGCAGUAGAGAAUCUUCCGCAAUGGACGAAAGCCUGACAGAGCAACGCCGCGUGAGGGAUGAAGGUCUUCGGAUCGUAAAACGCUGUUAUUAGGGAAGAACUAAAGUGUAAUUAACUGUGCUCAUCAUGACAGUACCGAAUCAGAAAGCCACGGCUAACCACGUG
rnacentral:rRNA from 1 species